rnacentral:piRNA from 1 species
GAAUUAGUGUUGGACAAAGAUGGGAGA